GCGUGCCCCUGUCAUAGGUGCAUCUGUCCCUUAUGUGGCUGAUGUGGUCAAAAAGGUGCCAAAAGUAACUCUCUCCCUUGAUGGUCACUGUUUAGUUGGUCCCCAAUUAUCCAGCAAUGUUUUAAGGAAGAUACAGGU